rnacentral:rRNA from 1 species
GAUGAACGCUGGCGGCGUGCCUAAUACAUGCAAGUCGAGCGAACAGAUAAGGAGCUUGCUCCUUUGACGUUAGCGGCGGACGGGUGAGUAACACGUGGGUAACCUAUCUAUAAGACUGGAAUAACUCCGGGAAACCGGGGCUAAUGCCGGAUAACAUGUUGAACCGCAUGGUUCUACAGUGAAAGGCGGCUUUGCUGUCACUUAUAGAUGGACCCGCGCCGUAUUAGCUAGUUGGUGAGGUAACGGCUCACCAAGGCAACGAUACGUAGCCGACCUGAGAGGGUGAUCGGCCACACUGGAACUGAGACACGGUCCAGACGCCUACGGGAGGCAGCAGUAGGGAAUCUGCCGCAAUGGGCGAAAGCCUGACGGAGCAACGCCGCGUGAGUGAUGAAGGUCUUCGGAUCGUAAAACUCUGUUAUUAGGGAAGAACAAAUGCGUAAGUAACUGUGCGCGUCUUGACGGUACCUAAUCAGAAAGCAACGGCUAACUACGUG